CUGAGAUGAGAUGAGAAUUGAAGUGGAGCUGCAGAAGCCCUACUUGAGCUCCAUCCCACUCACUAAGCUCUCCUAGGAACCCCCAUCGCAUCGCAGAAGUGCAACUAAUGCAAUGCUGCUUCUCCAUCUACUAACUCGCCUCCUAAUCUCAUCUCGCCCUGCUUCUUUUGCGCUCAGUGUGGAGACUGAUUGAUUAAUGGAUGUUAGCUGGGGUACCAAGAUUGGAUGGUACGGGUGAGAUCAAGCCUUCCCUGUGUCAAUCAAUGCAGGAAAGAGGGAUGCCAGAAGGCAGGCAUGUGAAGAGAUGAUGGAGUCGGAUGAUGGUUUUAGCAAGCUCCAACAUGAAGUUGUCUACCUGUGACUGUUCGAGCUUGAAAUGUGGAAAGAGUUGCAGCUCGAGGACCCACCUCAUUACCAUCCCCACCUGCAUCAGGAAACCCUCCAUUAAAUGUCAGUGAUAGAUUUGGCUACGCCGCACUCUCAUACCAAAAGUGCUACACUCCUCUUCUGCACAACCAUCAUCUCUUAUGUUUCGCGAGGAAGACAGGCACAGGACCAUUGCUGAGAUCUCAGUUGGCGUCAUUCGCACUCGUGUUAAUCUCAAACACAAGCUGAGCAGCUCAAGAGAAUCCACUAAGCUUAUGUAGAGAGAGAUAGAGAGAGAGAGAGAGAGAGACCGUACGAGCAGGACGGUGAAAUGGAAAGGAGAGCAUGCAGUUCUACGGCUCACAAUAAUUGAUCGAUCACCGUCCUCCUCCUCCUCCUUCUCCUCCGCCUUUGCGUCUCUUUUUACCGCAGUAACUAUGAACGCACGCACGCACGCACGCGCCAUUCCGCAGGCGAAAGCAGAGCUGAAGCCAUGCAGUCGCUGUACUUGCUGGCUUUCGCCUUCCACCUCCCCUGCUUCACCCGUCUCCCUCACAAUAGGAAAGCCCCUGGCGCGGCUUUCACUCCCAACAGUGGAAGCUUUGCCGGUGAAGAACCCAAAACCAGCUCAAAUCUGAUACGCUUCUGUGGAAUGAAGCCACGGAGACGGACGCGGACGGAGCGGCGUUGCUUCAAAUUAUGGCAUCGGUGAGUGGGAUGGGAUGGGGUGGGGACGCGGGAGGGGUCACCGUCAGGAAUUCACAUACGGAGUAGCCAACAAAGGUGGGGGUGAUGCAGGAACAGCGAUGCUGCUGUGUCUGGUGACCAGAGGCCGCCAUAUAAUACACCAUUACUCCUCCGUGUAUUUGAAUCCGCACCUCGCUUUCCUUGCCUCUCCUGCCCCCCUCUCCAACUUGCUCUGCAACUUGGCAGGGCGCAGGGCAGGCCACCGAGCGCACGUGGGUCAGGUGGUGGCUCGAUGCUCGAGCCGGGUCCUGACACCCAGUCGCGUGUGGUGCAGCAACCCAUUGACAUGGUGAUCCACCUGGGAGUCAACAAAAGGAAGGCUUCCCCAGGCUUUGAUCGGCGCCAUGAAAGACCACAUAUCAAAAGAAGAGAAAAGAAGGAGACACAUCGGAUCGCUACCGGCCUCCUAACCAUCUCCUCUCCGCGAGUUGGUGCACCAGAGGCCGGUCGAGAGAGAGAGAGAGAGAGAGGCGGGCAGGCCAAGAUGGAGUAAAAUAAUCAAACACAUUGUGAUCAUAAUGUAAGCGGGGGAUAAAGUUGGGGAUGUCCGUGCUGCUGUAUCUAUCCAUCAAAGGAGGGGGCGAGGUGGGGCAACCUGGAGUUGACUGGCAGAUGAGUAUUCUACUGCUACUGCUGGAUCAUCUUACGAGGGUAGGAGGAGUCUGCUGCAUCGACUGGAGGGGUCAGUGUGCAAAGGUUUUUUCUUUUGGAAAGGAAAUUUCUUGAAAAGAAGAGAUGGUUGUGUUGGGAUGAGCUGUCAUCAGCAUUAGAUGCUUUAUCUGACGCCCACCUGCGAUGUCUGGCUGCUGCUGCUGCUGCUGCUGCUGCUGCUGCUCCAUAUUACCGCAGGGGAGCAGUAAUAAUCAUAGACCGAAUCCUGCAUCAACCAAGUAGGAAGUGAGAUUAGCAUUGGGCAGUGAUGGAAUGAAGUGAAAGAGACAUGGGUUUGCUAGGUUUUUAACUGCAUCUUUCUAAACCAGCAGUCUAUAUUCAUUAUUCUGUUCGAGGCCCCACGAGUGGUUCUCAGACUCGAAGCAGUGACAGAGAAAGGAAGAGAGGGAGAGAGAGGAAUCAUAAGAAAGAGAGAGAGAGAGAGAGAGAGAGAGAGAGAGAGAGAGAGAGUAGCUUUUGAUGGCUAAGUACUCACAAUCUUUCCUUCACCUGCCAAACCUUUUACCCGGGUGCAUCUUCCUCCUCGGUUUCAUGUAAUCUCUGAUCUAGACUUCUGCAAUGGCUCUUCUUUCUAUUUUCACGUUCAUGGGGGUUCUCUAUCUCCGGUUGUCUUUGAUGUGUGUCGUCGGAAGAGCCACCGAGCGAUAAUAAAAAUGAAGGGCUUUCGCUGUCACAGCCAAAACUAGGCAAACAUCCUCAUCUCCACGGGGAGCGAGCUGCAAAGGCUAAUCCCAAAUGACCAAGUCCUAAAUGGCCAUUUAUUAAGGGGGUGGCUUUUUGUACCGUGCUCCGACGCGUUGUGGCCUCGAGAUCUGUGGAUUCCAGUCGUGAGACGUCCGUGUCCUAAGCCACCAACAGGAGAUGCACGCACCCCGACACAGAGAGAGAUAGAGCCAGCAAUGACGGUGGGAAGAAUUCCUGCGUCACCUUUACAAGAAUUGGGGCUUAAAUCUCUUCGCCGGCUGUGUCAUGAUAGAUAUACAAUUCCUCGUACGUCUGCCCCCUAAAAAGAAGUAAUGAAGCGUUAUAAACACAGUAUCGGAGCUGGCGUGCCUCGAAGUGCAGGAAAGGUGUUUGUGAUAAUGCCAAAGAUAUUGUGUAACCCUGUAACAGCCGUUAUUUAAAAGGGUGGGGGGAGUAGGAGUCACUCACAGUGGGUUACACAAGACGGCGAUCGAUGAUGACGGCUUCUGUGUGGUCACGGAGGUAACAGGACAGGCACAUCAAAGUCUGGGAACGCUGUAACGGAGGAGGAGGAAAGAGGACAGUACACCGUGUGCCGUUGCUCGCCCAUCAAAGCUAUCAGUGGCCGUACAUUUCUAAUCAGGAUCGUACGAGGCCGGACACGUGGGGAGGGGCCGUGCUCCUCUGACCCCUCUCAUCAUGUUGUCUCCGCCCGGCGAUGAGAUUCGACUCACUUUCCCGCUCUGCUUUUAUUGUCGUUGGUGCAGUGAAAGUGUUUGUCCCCGUACCUAUAUAAUGUUAUUAUUUUCAU